CGCUUCUUUUUUCCCCCUCACUUCCACAUCCUUACACUCACGCCCUCAAUCUCUCAGUCCCAUAACCGAUCUGCAGUCUCUCUGUCCAACGUCCCAGUCCUUUGCCUCACCGGAGUCACAGCAGCACUCACCACAUCGACCUCAUGCUAAAGCUUCAGGCAGCCGGUCACGCACCCCGAGAUCCAUCGUCGACCGCCAGUUCAGAUUCCAGCCGCUACCCGCCGACGCCUCUCCUCACCCACUGCAAAUUGAACGGCUACAGUUGUUUGUUCUUGAAAUAUUCAUUUUGAUUUCCAUUUUUUCAAUUUUUAAUUUAUGUUCCUGAUUUACUCCGCCAUUGCUUGCUCUGCCAACCGCCGCCGCUUCCCCAACCGUGCACUGGGCAUGUACAAUGGAGCAAUCGGAUUACGAAACAAUGAACUAUCAAAAGCUUGUGCUAUGUUGGUUCAAGAAUUGAUUGAAGAUAAAGGAGUGUACUCGGGAACUAAUAAAUGGAAGGCAUAUAUAGAGCUCUAUACCUUCCUCAAUACGCAAA